rnacentral:rRNA from 1 species
AGAGUUUGAUCAUGGCUCAGAACGUACGCUGGCGGCACGCCUAACACAUGCAAGUCGAACGCAGUAGCAAUACUGAGUGGCAGACGGGUGAGUAACAUGUGGGAAUCUGCCUUGUGGUUCAGGACAACAUUGGGAAACCGAUGCUAAUACUGGAUAAGCCCUUACGGGGAAAGUUUUAAUGCCAUAAGAUGAGCCCGCAUUUGAUUAGUUAGUUGGUGAGGUAAUGGCUCACCAAGACAAUGAUCAAUAGCUGAUCUGAGAGGAUGAUCAGCCACACUGGGACUGAGACACGGCCCAGACUCCUACGGGAGGCAGCAGUGGGGAAUCUUGCACAAUGGGCGAAAGCCUGAUGCAGCGAUGCCGCGUGAGUGAAGAAGGCCCUUGGGUUGUAAAGCUCUUUUGUCGGGAAAGAUAAUGACUGUACCCGAAUAAGAAGGUCCGGCUAACUUCGUGCCAGCAGCCGCGGUAAUACGAAGGGACCUAGCGUAGUUCGGAAUUACUGGGCUUAAAGAGUUCGUAGGUGGUUGAAAAAGUUGGUGGUGAAAUCCCAGAGCUUAACUCUGGAACUGCCAUCAAAACUUUUCAGCUAGAGUAUGAUAGAGGAAAGCAGAAUUUCUAGUGUAGAGGUGAAAUUCGUAGAUAUUAGAAAGAAUACCAAUUGCGAAGGCAGCUUUCUGGAUCAUUACUGACACUGAGGAACGAAAGCAUGGGUAGCGAAGAGGAUUAGAUACCCUCGUAGUCCAUGCCGUAAACGAUGUGUGUUAGACGUUGGAAAUUUAUUUUCAGUGUCGCAGGGAAACCGAUAAACACACCGCCUGGGGAGUACGACCGCAAGGUUAAAACUCAAAUGAAUUGACGGGGACCCGCACAAGUAGUGGAGCAUGUGGUUUAAUUCGAAGAUACGCGCAGAACCUUACCAACACUUGACAUGUUCGUCGCGACUCUAAGAGAUUAGAGUUUUCGGUUCGGCCGGACGAAACACAGGUGCUGCAUGGCUGUCGUCAGCUCGUGUCGUGAGAUGUUGGGUUAAGUCCCGCAACGAGCGCAACCCUCACUUUUAGUUGCCAUCAUUAAGUUGGGCACUCUGAAAGAACUGCCAGUGAUAAGCUGGAGGAAGGUGGGGAUGACGUCAAGUCCUCAUGGCCCUUACGGGUUGGGCUACACACGUGCUACAAUGGUAGUGACAAUGAGAUGCAAGGUGGCGACGCUAAGCUAAACUCAAAAAUCUACCUCAGUUCGGAUUGCACUCUGCAACUCGAGUGCAUGAAGCUGGAAUCGCUAGUAAUCGUAGAUCAGCGUGCUACGGUGAAUACGUUCCCGGGUCUUGUACACACCGCCCGUCACACCAUGGAAGUUGGUUCUACCUUAAAGCAGAUUGCUAACCGCAAGGAGGCGUUUGACCAAGGUAUAGUCAGCGACUGGGGUGAAGUCGUAACAAGGUAACCGUA